GUAGGUGGCAAGCGUUGUCCGGAAUUAUUGGGCGUAAAGCGCGCGCAGGCGGUCCUUUAAGUCUGAUGUGAAAGCCCACGGCUCAACCGUGGAGGGUCAUUGGAAACUGGGGGACUUGAGUACAGAAGAGGAAAGCGGAAUUCCAAGCGUAGCGGUGAAAUGCGUAGAGAUUUGGAGGAACACCAGUGGCGAAGGCGGCUUUCUGGUCUGUAACUGACGCUGAGGCGCGAAAGCGUGGGGAGCAAACAGGGAUUAGAUACCCCGGUAGUCCACGCCGUAAACGAUGAGUGCUAAGUGUUAGGGGGUUUCCCGCCCCCCUUAGUGCUGCAGCUAACGCAUUAAGCACUCCGCCUGGGGAGUACGGCCGCAAGGCUG
rnacentral:rRNA from 1 species